rnacentral:lncRNA from 1 species
CAGGGCCCAGGCUGCAGGACAGGCCCAGAUGGCAGCAGAGGGUUCCCUCGAUUCUGCAAUGGGAGCUCAUGGACCAUGCAGAUGACAGGGCCAGCGUUGGGUGGAGGGGGGGGUGGCUGUGCAGAUGACAGGGCCAGCGUCGGGGGUUGCUGCCCUUGCCCACCUUCAGGGCCUGCUAUGAAAGGCUGCUCCAUGGACACGCCCUUUGAGAUGCUUCUCAGGACAGGGGCUCAGGAUCCCCCGUGCCCAGCUCACUCCUGCUCGGGAAAGCCUGCCCCACCAGCGACCUUGCCUCUCCUCAUGCAUGAAAAUCAUCCUACUUUGCUCUUCACAAAAGUGUGGGUGGAGAAAACGGCCUUCAACACUCCUCAGAGCACCUCCUCGGAGCGGAAGCUGCUUCCUGGGGUGUGUUUCUGUUCUGGAGGUUGCACCUUCGAUCCUGAGGCGUGGGAGCUGGCCUGAGGUUGAAGGUGAGGCUGAGGACCUGGGUGAGGCUCCCCAAGGCCCCCGGCUGGGCUGAGCAAAGAACGGGAGCGUGCCCCCACCACUCACAGGGUGUCCACACCUGGAGAAGGAAACCACAGGCUUUGUCACCUUUGUCUUAAGUCAGUGGGACAAACCUAGAAAGUGAGGCAUUUUGGACAGCUCCAAGGUGGCUGUGUCCUGGCCUGCCCAGACCGAGGGCCCCGGGAUUCUGGAGGCGCAGAUUGGAUCCCAGGAUGCAUGACUAGUGACUCCUAAGGUGGGAACCCCUGGGUGAGCGAGGAGUGGGAGGCCGGUGCACAUCCACCUUCUGUCCCGGCCUCCUCUUCCGCCGGUCCUGUAUUUCUCUCGAAGUCUCAUCCCGGCCAUCAGAGCCUCAAGACUUCUCAAGCUCCUGGCACAUUCUGAGGCAGCUCCUCCCGUUAUGGGCCCCAAGAGCGCUGCUACCUCCCAAGGGAACACAGAGAAGGUGGCUGGCGUCUGUCCUGCGCAGCGAACGGUGGUCCGGGGAUGCUCCUGGACGGGGUGGAGCAGAUGGAUGACAGAGAAGUUGGGGGGCCCUGAGGAACAAGAGAAGCUGUGUUGGUGGCAGCAAAGGAAGACACCAGCCUGAAGGAGGACCUGCCCACCGCUGACCUACCGCAUCCGCUGCUGGCCUCCACCUGCUAGCCCAGGCCAGGGCCCAGGGUGUGGGUGCUGGACACGUCGAGGGGCACAGGGAGCCAAGACUGCCUCAUCCAAGCCCCAGAGCCUGCAGCUAACAAGCUAACAGGGAGACGGUAUGUAGCAAACAGUCACACAAAUAGUUCUUUCCCUCACUCCUUGUGUCCUCCUAUUCACCCUCCCUUCUUUGUCCUUUUCUUAAAAUUAGAAGCUAAAAAUAUGUCCAUUGUAGAAACUUAGAACAGUACAAGAGCAUAGAGAAACAAAGUUAAAAAUAUCAGUUACCUGUAAUUCUGGCAUCCAGAAAUAUCCACUUUAAUAAGGUGUUCAAUUUUGUAAGCAAACUUUAAAUUUUAUUAUAUCCUAAGCCUCUUCAUGUCAUUAAUUUUUCUAAAAUUUGAGCCUUUGUGGCUGCCUAGGGCCCCAUUUAUUUCACCCAUCCCCAGUUGUUGGACAUUCAUGUCUCUUCCACAUUUUCACCCUCAUAAAAAAAUGCCGCCACAAACAUCCCAGAAGAUAAAUCUUUGUCACAAUCUCUAAUUAAUUCAUUAAGAUAAAUUCCAGGGAGUGAAAAACAGUGUUUCAAAUGGUAUGACUAUUUUUAAAGCUAUCUGGACAUGUGGCCAAGUUACACUCUUGGGAACGUCAUGGAAAAUCCCAGCAGAAGUCUAAGAAAGGAUCUAGAUCCAGCUCCUUGAACCCAGCCAGCACUGGGUUAUCUUCCCGCUUUGCGAAAUUUGUCCUGUUUUCAUUUCCUUGUCAGCAAGAUUGAAUUUUUUUUUUGUAUGUUCCUAACCCAUCUAUAUUUUGUUUUCUGGAAAUUUUC